AUGGCUAAAUCCAAACAAUUCAAUAAAAAUAAUAACCAAGAUAAUGUCACUGAAAGAAAACUGAAUAGAAAUAGAAAUUUUGAAGAUAUAUCAACAAUCCAAACAACCAUUAAUAAUUUAAGAAAUAAACGCCCAACUCAGUCUCAGUUAACUUCAGAAGGUUGUGUCUCAUUUCAUUUCAUAUCCAUACAACCCGGUAAAUAG